AGAAUCAACGCUGGCGGCGUGCCUAACACAUGCAAGUCGAACGCGAAAGGGGAGCAAUCCCUGAUUAGAGUGGCAAACGGGUGAGUAACACGUGGGUGACCUGCCUUCGAGUGGGGGAUAACCUUCCGAAAGGAGGGCUAAUACCGCAUGACAUACCGUGUUUGGAUACAUGGAUAUCAAAGCCGGGGAUCGCAAGACCUGGCGCUUGGAGAGGGGCCCGCGUCCGAUUAGCUAGUUGGUGAGGUAACGGCUCACCAAGGCUCCGAUCGGUA
rnacentral:rRNA from 1 species